UACGAAGGGUGCAAGCGUUAUUCGGAGUUACUGGGCGUAAAGAGCGCGUAGGCGGUUUUUUAAGUCAUUUGUUAAAUCUCUCGGCUCAACCGGGAACAGGCAAGUGAUACUGGAAGACUAGAGGAUAAGAGAGAGAAGCGGAAUUCUCGGAGUAGCGGUAAAAUGCGUAGAUCUCGAGAGGAACACCGGAGGCGAAGGCGGCUUCUUAGCUUAUAUCUGACGCUAAAGUGCGAAAGCGUGGGGAGCAAACAGG
rnacentral:rRNA from 1 species